UACGUAGGGGGCUAGCGUUGUCCGGAUUUAUUGGGCGUAAAGAGCGUGUAGGCGGCCAGGUAGGUGGGUUGUGAAAACUGGAGGCUCAACCUUCAGAGGUCGACCCAAACCCCCUGGCUAGAGUCCGGAAGAGGAGAGUGGAAUUCCUGGUGUAGCGGUGAAAUGCGCAGAUAUCAGGAAGAACACCCGUGGCGAAGGCGGCCUUCUGGACAGUGACUGACGCUGAGACGCGAAAGCGUGGGGAGCAAACAGGG
rnacentral:rRNA from 1 species